rfam:Nicotiana attenuata strain TT chromosome 11, whole genome shotgun sequence.
GAAUGAAUGUCUGAGCGGUUCAAAGAGUCGGUCUUAAAAACCGAAGUAUUCAUAGAAAUACUGGGGUUCAAAUCCCUCUCCAUCCG